rnacentral:misc_RNA from 1 species
UGGCUCUGGCAUCGAUGAAGAACGCAGCGAAAUGCGAUAAGUAAUGUGAAUUGCAGAAUUCAGUGAAUCAUCGAAUCUUUGAACGCACAUUGCGCCCGCCAGCAUUCUGGCGGGCAUGCCUGUUCGAGCGUCAUUUCAACCCUCGGGCCCCCCUUCUCGCGAUCGGGGGCCCGGUGUUGGGGGACGGCCCCAGGCCCGCCACCGAGCGGGUCGGCCGCCCCCGAAAACCAGUGGCGGCCACGCCGCGGGCUCCUCUGCGUAGUAGCAACACCUCGCACUUGGGACCCGGCGCGGCCACGCCGUAAAUCAGACGAAUCUUUCUGAAAGGUUGACCUCGGAUCAGGUAGGAAUACCCGCUGA